AGGCUUUAUCGAUGGGAGAUCUAGAGAUGACAUUAACCACUUGAGUAGAUGAUGUUGACGCCGAUGGAUCACCUCACAGAGCUUCUCCAUCGACACCUUCUGUGAUGAUUCUGCCUGACGUUUCUGCGGCUGCACCGAUUGUGGAUCCCAUUAUGAUGUCUAUUUCGACAUUA